AAUAAGUUCAUUUUUCAGUUUUUAGAUAUAAUGUUUGACUCUUCGUCUUAUUUGAAAUCCUUUUGCGAUUAAUAUUUUUAUUGUUACUAGAUGAUAAAAUAUGAAUAGUACUUUAUGCGUGACUAAUUUUUUUAAGAUUUUGUACAAAAUUUUUAAAUAAGACGAAUGGUCAAACUUUGGACACAAAUCGAAAAAUGAAGUUAUU
rfam:Oryza brachyantha chromosome 9, whole genome shotgun sequence.